rnacentral:tRNA from 1 species
AGGCGCGUAGCUCAGUGGGAGAGCACCUCCUUGACGUGGAGGGGGUCGGCGGUUCAAUCCCGCCCGUGCCUA